CUUUAGCCCUAAACACAGAUAAUUACAUAAACAAAUUAUUUGCCAGAGUACUACUAGCAACAGCUUAAAACUCAAAGGACUUGGCGGUGCUUUAUAUCCUUC
rnacentral:rRNA from 1 species